rnacentral:lncRNA from 1 species
AAUAAGGGGUUUUCUAAACCUCUGGCAUCCUCUAGAGAUUCUUGAGAUGGUUUGCAGAUUGUAUGCAAUGUGAUUGGUCAGCUUCCUGUUCUUACCACUGUGUCUCCCCUUCCCCAUCGUGGUGAACUGUAGCCCCCACCCCCCACCCCCCUGUAAAUCCAAAUAAACCUUUUCUCCCCUCA